rnacentral:lncRNA from 1 species
UUCACUCUCUCUACUCUCCCUCCUUUUUUCACUCUCAAUCCCUCCUUCACUCUCUCUACUCUCCCUCCCUUUCUCACUCUCAAUUCCUCCCUCUCUAUUACCUCUCUCUUUCACUCUCUCUCUCCAUCCUUUAUCACUCUGUUUACUUACUCACUCACUUUCUCCAUCUCUCUCUAUCCCCAAUAUAUCCCUCUCUCGCCAUCCCUUCUUCCCUCUCACUUUCUCUCUCCCUACUUCAUCACUCUGUUUACUCCCUCUAUUACUUUCUUUCCCUCCCUCCCUCCUUUUCUCCCUCUCUCUUACCUCUCUUGCACUCUUUCUCUCUCCAUCCUUCAUCAAUCUGUUUACUCACUCCCUUUCUCCAUCUCUCCCUAUUCCCAAUAUAUCCCUCCCUCCUUUCUUCAAUUUUUCUCUUGCUUUCUUUUCCUCCCUCCCUCCCUCUCUCUCUACUGUUUUAAACCUCUCUCCAUACUUCAUCACUCUGUUUACUCUCUCUAUUACUUUCUUUCCCUCCUUCCCUCUUUUCCUCCCUCUCUUACCUCUCUUCCACUCUUUCUCUCUCUCCAUUCUUCAUCACUCUGUUUACUCUCUCUAUUACUUUCUUUCCCUCCUUCCCUCUUUUCCUCCCUCUCUUACCUCUCUUCCACUCUUUCUCUCUCUCCAUUCUUCAUCACUCUGUUUACUCACUCACUCCCUUUCUCCAUCCCUCCCUCUCUCUGUUCCCAAUAUAUCCCUCUCUCGGUUUCUUUCUAUUAUCCAUCCUCGGUUUCUCGGUGCGUGCGUGUGUGUAUGAGAUGCGUUAAUAAUGAAAAUAUCGUUUCGGACUUACUGAGCGCGAGCGCGCGCUCGACUUCGAUUCUGUUUGUGCGUGCGCGCGCCUGCGUGAGUGCGUGUACACGGCUGCGUGUAUACGAGUGUGUGUGUGUGUGUGUGUGCGUUUGCGUGUGUUUGAGUGUGAGUGUGUGUGCGUGCGUGCGUGUGUCACGUGCCGACAUGGGGCAUUUUUUUGCAGGCUGGCCGAGCCGCCUACAUGCUCGCGCUGAGCGCCGCGGUGGCUCUGCCUGCAGCCCUGAUGCCACUUCUCCGCGCGAGCCGUCAGACUAG